UACAACGGAGAGUUUGAUCCUGGCUCAGGACGAACGCUGGCGGCGUGCCUAACACAUGCAAGUCAACUUGAAGCUACUGCUUGCAGUAGUGAAUGGUGGCGAACGGGUGAGUAACGCGUAGACAAUCUACCAUUUAAUGUGGGAUAACUCAUUGAAAAGUGAACUAAUACCGCAUAGUCUCUCUUCAUGGCAUCAUGAUAAGAGUAAAGACUGAGGUCGUUAAAUGAUGAGUCUGCGUAUCAUUAGUUAGUUGGUAAGGUAACGGCUUACCAAGACAUCGAUGAUUAGCUGGUCUGAGAGGAUGAUCAGCCACACUGGGACUGAGAUACGGCCCAGACUCCUACGGGAGGCAGCAGU
rnacentral:rRNA from 1 species